rnacentral:rRNA from 1 species
UGCAAGCCGAGCGGUAGAGAUUCUUCGGGAUCUUGAGAGCGGCGUACGGGUGCGGAACACGUGUGCAACCUGCCUUUAUCAGGGGGAUAGCCUUUCGAAAGGAAGAUUAAUACCCCAUAAUAUUUAGAAUGGCAUCAUUUUAAAUUGAAAACUCCGGUGGAUAGAGAUGGGCACGCGCAUGAGACUUAGUGAUAGUAUGGUGCAGGUAACGGCUCUACGUCAAGUCUACGAUCUUUAGGGGGCCUGAGAGGGUGAUCCCCCACACUGGUACUGAGACACGGACCAGACUCCUACGGGAGGCAGCAGUGAGGAAUAUUGGACAAUGGGUGCGAGCCUGAUCCAGCCAUCCCGCGUGAAGGACGACGGCCCUAUGGGUUGUAAACUUCUUUUGUAUAGGGAUAAACCUACCCUCGUGAGGGUAGCUGAAGGUACUAUACGAAUAAGCACCGGCUAACUCCGUGCCAGCAGCCGCGGUAAUACGGAGGGUGCAAGCGUUAUCCGGAUUUAUUGGGUUUAAAGGGUCCGUAGGCGGAUCUGUAAGUCAGUGGUGAAAUCUCACAGCUUAACUGUGAAACUGCCAUUGAUACUGCAGGUCUUGAGUGUUGUUGAAGUAGCUGGAAUAAGUAGUGUAGCGGUGAAAUGCAUAGAUAUUACUUAGAACACCAAUUGCGAAGGCAGGUUACUAAGCAACAACUGACGCUGAUGGACGAAAGCGUGGGGAGCGAACAGGAUUAGAUACCCUGGUAGUCCACGCCGUAAACGAUGCUAACUCGUUUUUGGGAUGCAAGUUUCAGAGACUAAGCGAAAGUGAUAAGUUAGCCACCUGGGGAGUACGUUCGCAAGAAUGAAACUCAAAGGAAUUGACGGGGGCCCGCACAAGCGGUGGAUUAUGUGGUUUAAUUCGAUGAUACGCGAGGAACCUUACCAAGGCUUAAAUGGGAAAUGACAGGUUUAGAAAUAAGACUUUUCUUCGGACAUUUUUCAAGGUGCUGCAUGGUUGUCGUCAGCUCGUGCCGUGGAGGUGUUAGGUUAAGUCCUGCAACGAGCGCAACCCCUGUCACUAGUUGCCAUCAUUAAGUUGGGGACUCUAGUGAGACUGCCUACGCAAGAUAGAAGAGGAAGGUGGGGAUGACGUCAAAUCAUCACGGCCCUUACGCCUUGGGCCACACACGUAAUACAAUGGCCGGUACAGAGGGCAGCUACACAGCGAUGUGAUGCAAAUCUCGAAAGCCGGUCUCAGUUCGGAUUGGAGUCUGCAACUCGACUCUAUGAAGCUGGAAUCGCUAGUAAUCGCGCAUCAGCCAUGGCGCGGUGAAUACGUUCCCGGGCCUUGUACACACCGCCCGUCAAGCCAUGGAAGUCUGGGGUACCUGAAGUCGGUGACCGUAACAGGA